AGUUACAAAGGACGACAUUAGACGAAUCAUCUGGAAAGAUGAAUCAAAGAAGGUAAUAAUCCUGUAGUCGAAAAUGUUGUCUCUCUUGAGUGGAUCCUGAGUACGACGGAGCACGUGAAAUUCCGUCGGAAUCUGGGAGGACCAUCUCCUAAGGCUAAAUACUCUCUAGUGACCGAUAGUGAACCAGUACCGUGAGGGAAAGGUGAAAAGCACCCCGGAAGGGGAGUGAAAUAGAACCUGAAACCGUGUGCUUACAAGUAGUCAGAGCCCGUUAAUGGGUGAUGGCGUGCCUUUUGUAGAAUGAACCGGCGAGUUACGAUUUGAUGCAAGGUUAAGCAGUAAAUGUGGAGCCGUAGCGAAAGCGAGUCUGAAUAGGGCGUUUAGUAUUUGGUCGUAGACCCGAAACCAGGUGAUCUACCCUUGGUCAGGUUGAAGUUCAGGUAACACUGAAUGGAGGACCGAACCGACUUACGUUGAAAAGUGAGCGGAUGAACUGAGGGUAGCGGAGAAAUUCCAAUCGAACCUGGAGAUAGCUGGUUCUCUCCGAAAUAGCUUUAGGGCUAGCCUCAAGUGAUGAUUAUUGGAGGUAGAGCACUGUUUGGACGAGGGGCCCCUCUCGGGUUACCGAAUUCAGACAAACUCCGAAUGCCAAUUAAUUUAACUUGGGAGUCAGAACAUGGGUGAUAAGGUCCGUGUUCGAAAGGGAAACAGCCCAGACCACCAGCUAAGGUCCCAAAAUAUAUGUUAAGUGGAAAAGGAUGUGGCGUUGCCCAGACAACUAGGAUGUUGGCUUAGAAGCAGCCAUCAUUUAAAGAGUGCGUAAUAGCUCACUAGUCGAGUGACACUGCGCCGAAAAUGUACCGGGGCUAAACAUAUUACCGAAGCUGUGGAUUGUCCUUUGGACAAUGGUAGGAGAGCGUUCUAAGGGCGUUGAAGCAUGAUCGUAAGGACAUGUGGAGCGCUUAGAAGUGAGAAUGCCGGUGUGAGUAGCGAAAGACGGGUGAGAAUCCCGUCCACCGAUUGACUAAGGUUUCCAGAGGAAGGCUCGUCCGCUCUGGGUUAGUCGGGUCCUAAGCUGAGGCCGACAGGCGUAGGCGAUGGAUAACAGGUUGAUAUUCCUGUACCACCUAUAAUCGUUUUAAUCGAUGGGGGGACGCAGUAGGAUAGGCGAAGCGUGCGAUUGGAUUGCACGUCUAAGCAGUAAGGCUGAGUAUUAGGCAAAUCCGGUACUCGUUAAGGCUGAGCUGUGAUGGGGAGAAGACAUUGUGUCUUCGAGUCGUUGAUUUCACACUGCCGAGAAAAGCCUCUAGAUAGAAAAUAGGUGCCCGUACCGCAAACCGACACAGGUAGUCAAGAUGAGAAUUCUAAGGUGAGCGAGCGAACUCUCGUUAAGGAACUCGGCAAAAUGACCCCGUAACUUCGGGAGAAGGGGUGCUCUUUAGGGUUAACGCCCAGAAGAGCCGCAGUGAAUAGGCCCAAGCGACUGUUUAUCAAAAACACAGGUCUCUGCUAAACCGUAAGGUGAUGUAUAGGGGCUGACGCCUGCCCGGUGCUGGAAGGUUAAGAGGAGUGGUUAGCUUCUGCGAAGCUACGAAUCGAAGCCCCAGUAAACGGCGGCCGUAACUAUAACGGUCCUAAGGUAGCGAAAUUCCUUGUCGGGUAAGUUCCGACCCGCACGAAAGGCGUAACGAUUUGGGCACUGUCUCAACGAGAGACUCGGUGAAAUCAUAGUACCUGUGAAGAUGCAGGUUACCCGCGACAGGACGGAAAGACCCCGUGGAGCUUUACUGUAGCCUGAUAUUGAAAUUCGGCACAGCUUGUACAGGAUAGGUAGGAGCCUUUGAAACGUGAGCGCUAGCUUACGUGGAGGCGCUGGUGGGAUACUACCCUAGCUGUGUUGGCUUUCUAACCCGCACCACUUAUCGUGGUGGGAGACAGUGUCAGGCGGGCAGUUUGACUGGGGCGGUCGCCUCCUAAAAGGUAACGGAGGCGCUCAAAGGUUCCCUCAGAAUGGUUGGAAAUCAUUCAUAGAGUGUAAAGGCAUAAGGGAGCUUGACUGCGAGACCUACAAGUCGAGCAGGGUCGAAAGACGGACUUAGUGAUCCGGUGGUUCCGCAUGGAAGGGCCAUCGCUCAACGGAUAAAAGCUACCCCGGGGAUAACAGGCUUAUCUCCCCCAAGAGUUCACAUCGACGGGGAGGUUUGGCACCUCGAUGUCGGCUCAUCGCAUCCUGGGGCUGUAGUCGGUCCCAAGGGUUGGGCUGUUCGCCCAUUAAAGCGGUACGCGAGCUGGGUUCAGAACGUCGUGAGACAGUUCGGUCCCUAUCCGUCGUGGGCGUAGGAAAUUUGAGAGGAGCUGUCCUUAGUACGAGAGGACCGGGAUGGACAUACCUCUGGUGUACCAGUUGUCGUGCCAACGGCAUAGCUGGGUAGCUAUGUGUGGACGGGAUAAGUGCUGAAAGCAUCUAAGCAUGAAGCCCCCCUCAAGAUGAGAUUUCCCAACUUCGGUUAUAAGAUCCCUCAAAGAUGAUGAGGUUAAUAGGUUCGAGGUGGAAGCAUGGUGACAUGUGGAGCUGACGAAUACUAAUCGAUCGAAGACUUAAUCAA
rnacentral:rRNA from 1 species